rnacentral:rRNA from 1 species
CCUACGGGGGGCAGCAGUGAGGAAUAUUGGUCAAUGGACGAGAGUCUGAACCAGCCAAGUAGCGUGAAGGAUGACUGCCCUAUGGGUUGUAAACUUCUUUUAUAUGGGAAUAAAAUGUUCCACGUGUGGGAUUUUGUAUGUACCAUAUGAAUAAGGAUCGGCUAACUCCGUGCCAGCAGCCGCGGUAAUACGGAGGAUCCGAGCGUUAUCCGGAUUUAUUGGGUUUAAAGGGAGCGAAGGUGGAUUGUUAAGUCAGUUGUGAAAGUUUGCGGCUCAACCGUAAAAUUGCAGUUGAAACUGGCAGUCUUGAGUACAGUAGAGGUGGGCGGAAUUCGUGGUGUAGCGGUGAAAUGCUUAGAUAUCACGAAGAACUCCGAUUGCGAAGGCAGUUCACUGGACUGCAACUGACACUGAGGCUCGAAAGUGUGGGUAUCAAACAGGAUUAGAUACCCUUGUAGUC